AACCCAUGGUGAGGACACCUUCUCAGUAAGUCCUCGUAUCUCUCCCAUGCCUCUUAAAGUGUUUCUAAAUCCAUCUGCACAAAAGAAGAGAUAUCAUUACGCAU
rnacentral:snoRNA from 1 species